CCCAGUUCUCUCAGAUAACUGAGAAAAAUGAAAUUGGAUCUGAGAUUUCUGCAGCUUGAUUUAAGAACAAUCUUCAGUUAUUUAUUCAUAUCUUCAACAGAAAAUGAGUGCAAGUCUGGUAAGAUUAAGAAACUUGAUGAAAUUGGCAAGAGUGAUGUAAGGAUCCAUCUACUUGUAAGGAUUAUCAAGGUCUUUCUUCCGAAGGAGUCAUUUCAACAUCCAAUUCCAUGCCAAUUACAACAGUUUCCAUGCCAAUUACAGCAGUUUCCGUGCCAAUUACAACAGUUUCCGUGCCAAUUACAACAGUUUUCAUGUAGGUUGCCUUGUUGCCAUGAGUGUGAAGAUUCAUUCAUACAGGAUUUAAAGUCUAAGAGAUCACUUCUAUCAUCGUCAUGGCAGUUCUGUGAGGCUAGUGGGAAUUGAGUGAUGCUGGAGAGGGAAAAUGUUGUCAGGCUUUUCAGAUCCAAAUUUGUGUUACUCGAGAUGAGAUUUCAAAGAUCAGCUCAGCGAUUGAAGAUCUUAACCUGCAUAUUUAGGUUCUGCAAAUCCUGAAUUUGUAUACAUUGAACAUUUUGAUUAAGAAUCUAGCUGUCAAGUAGGCCAAGUUAAUCCUGACAAAUGAAUGAUAUAGGGAUGAAGAUACUUGAUGAAAGUGGCAACAAUAAUAUUAUGAUCCAUCUUUUUGUAAUAAUUUUCAAGGUCUUUGUUCCCAAGGUUGAUUGAGAUGACUCGAUGAUAAACGAUCUGAAGAGUUUGAACAUCUAAUUCCUUGCCAAUUGCAACAGUUUUCGUAUAUGUUGCCUUGUUGUCAUGGUGAUAAACGAUUUGAAGAGUCGUUCGAAGAGAAUUUUAAGUUUAAGAGAGCACUUCUAUCCUCGUCAUGGCAGCCAUGGCAGGAUAGUGGGAAUUGAGUGAUGCUGAUGAAGAAUGUGGUACUUCACAAUAUCAUGAAGGGACAUCUUUGAACAUCUCUCUUUGGUCAAUAAUAAAGAGAUCGAUUUUGACGCCUUCAAAGCUACCUUUCCUGUUUCUGGGAUUAAUAAGUUUAUAAACUCUCAAGGUUUGGUGAUCAACCGGGAUGCCAGCAGCAAACAGACAGGUACCUGGUCACGUGAGGAACCAAAUUCACCUUUCUGGAGUUUACGUGGUGUCCUCUUGAGCAGUAUUAGCUGAGUUAUGGAAGCAGACAAGAAAGAGAAAGGAGCUAUGGAAGCAGAAAACUCCAUCCUUAAAGCUGAAGUCAAUAAAGGGAGUGGUGAGAAAAGUGCUCUUGUCAAUGGUCUCGAAAACAAGUUUUACAUUUGACUUCAGCUUUAAGGAUGGAGUUUUUUGCUUCUAUAGCUGCCUUUGACAAUCACCAACCACCAGGUGGUUGAAAAUUAGGAGACAACAGUACGUCCAAUGUUCAGACUAACCGUUACUAUGGAAAAUAUUUUCUAUAGUGGUCGUCAACACUGCAGAUUUGACUCCCAACAGAGACGGGGCAAUAUUCCCUACAUUUGGGUUAAGAGGAAAAAGAGAGGGAACUCGCCAAAAGAAAGAAAUCAAAAGUGGAUGUGGAUGUGGAUGUGGAUUUGGAUGUGGAUGUGGAUGUUUUUAGAGGGAAAUUCAGUGGUUACUAAGGUUAUCAAUCCAAUAUGCAUGUGUACCAGACAACAGAAGCACUGCUGAUUGGAAUAUAAUGAAUUUGCUGAUAUUCCUCCUGAGAAAAUUAGAGUACUUAAUAAUCAAGUAUGGUGAUGAACAAUACCCACCGGCAGCGAUCAAGUAAGUCACGAAGAAUGCUAUGCCAUGCAUAGGCACAACAUUUGUGCGGAUUACAAAAAAUUUGCCAGUCACAAUGAAGCUUUGGCGGUCGACUCAACCGAUGACUCGGAGAUUACAAAAGCGGACUGACUUCAUAUGUGUAAAAUUCUCACCACUGACGAAUUCAAGAACUAUCUUCGCAGGACAUGAUGCAGCUGCUGCAAUAGAAUCAACCGCAGUACCUAUAAAGACCGAGUAAUCUAGAUGGCGCUAAAGCUGCAUUGCUUCACAACCUCCAGAACCCCACCACAGUCACCACCAGCACCACCAAAUGAAUCGUCGUAAUACUGGUUUAUGUUAUUUCGGAGCCCUUACAUAUACCCUGGAGGGACAACUUCUCCUAAUCAUUGCAGUGUGAUUUUUCCUCGCAACCUGAGUCAUUAGCCGCCCAUCAUCAGAUUAUUUGAGGUUCUCAGCUAUGCUAUGUUUAUCUGUCAAUAAUCCCAGUUAACAUCUCAAGUCUUGGCCAAUUUUAGUCUCGGACGUUUCCUUACUUGCAAGGAGAAGAAAAAUGUCUGUAAUAAAGAUAUUUACAUAGUGAAUUAUCCUAUUAGUUUGAUCGCGAAUCAUUAGAGUUAGAAUCCAUUUAUCUGUCCGUUCAUCCCAGUCCUUGAAUCAUUCAGAGAUUUCGGAAUGGGGUUUUGCCAUCUUUUCUAUACAUACUUGGAAGUUGUAUAUCAUAACACUUUUGGUUGUGCUGGAGAAAAAGUACAUUUAGAGCAUCAGUGAGUUGAGCUGUUACAUCGGGGUGCUUGACGUAUCGAAAGACCAGAGCUAGCGAAAGAAAUUUUGCACAAUUUUGUUCUAUCUGUUAGUAUACAAUCUGUAGGUUUGAGUUUAAAAAUCUCAAGUUUUUUUUUUGUUCUUGUUCUGUGAAACCUGAUUGUUGUCAAGGCAACU